GAUGUAAAUAGAGAAUUUCUGUCUCUAUUGUUUCUGUCUUAUAUUUGUAUGGCAGGUGGUUGGAGCACGAAGUGACACACUCCGAGAGCGGCUGAAGGUUGCAGAUAAGGUCAGAACUCACACUUUUCUUCACUCUCGUAUUCCUGCAUCUUCGGCACCAAGAACUUAUGUAAAUUGAAUAUUUAAUGAAGGUUCAAUUUACAACCGUUCACACAAUUUUAAUUUAAAGUGUUCUGUUAUUCUGUGCUGUGUUGUGCUGCAAAUGCCAACAGCCUGGGGCCAGUCCGGACGUACUGAGCGAAGCUCUUCUGGAAGAUCUUCUGGAGGAUGCAGCUCGAGCUCUGUGGGUGACUGAGAGGCAGCAGGUGGCCGAGGCUGAUGCUGAGAAGCAGCUGCAGGGCCCCACUUUAGAGAGCAUGUUGCUGAGGAUGGAGGAGAUGGAGAGAGACCAGGAAGAAGUGCGUCGGCGCUUUGCUAUGAUCUCAUACUCUGACCCUCUUAUCUGGGAAAAAGGCACAGAUGCUCAAAGGAAUAUUACUAGCUCUAGGCCAGCCUCUCCUCAGCCAAUCCGACUGACGAAACCAGUCCUGAAUGCACCCAGUACGGCCAACAUCCUCCUGCAAAAGCCAGUGGAGACUGGGUGAGUGACUAUCAGCUGAUUUUACAGUGUAUUGACUCCUUGUAUGCCAGGCACAUU
rnacentral:lncRNA from 1 species